rnacentral:rRNA from 1 species
CAGCAGCCGCGGGUAUACGUAAGGACCGAGCGUUGUCCGGAAUCAUUGGGCGUAAAGGGUACGUAGGCGGUUAAAAAAGUUAGAAGUGAAAGGCUAUAGCUCAACUAUAGUAAGCUUUUAAAACUGUUUAACUUGAGAGAUGGAAGGGAAAGUGGAAUUCCUAGUGUAGCGGUGAAAUGCGCAGAUAUUAGGAGGAAUACCGGUGGCGAAGGCGACUUUCUGGCCAUUAUCUGACGCUGAGGUACGAAAGCGUGGGUAGCAAACAGGAUUAGAUACCCUGGUAGUCAAGGGCG